UGAAAGCGUCUCUCGUUGGUCAGAUCAUUAUCUGGCGACAUCGAUCUUGAUGACAUAGAUUUGAUGGUUCAAUCACGAAACGAUGAUGAUAUGAUAUCGCUCCGAUCAAUUACGGACGUUUCAGAGAUCAUCACCAUCGGCUUUUACUUGAAUAUCUCUACUUGGAUCAUCAUCGGAAUUCACAGAGAGAUAAAGACAAAAUUGUCUUGAGAAGAGAAUUAGGGUUUUAGAAUAAGAAGAAGCGAGAAAUAGAGAGUUUUGAUUUGUCGAAUUCUUUAGAAGAAGCGUUGAGACUCUCAGUGAGAGAGUAAUUAUUUAUUUAUAAGCGAAGAAAAGGAAACUGAUAAUCACAAUUAACGGUCACAAAAUCUUCUUUUAACGGUCACAAAAAAGAUUUCUUUUGAUAGCUUCUGUUUCCU
rnacentral:sRNA from 1 species